GGAGGGGAUAACAACGGGAAACUGUUGCUAAUACCGCAUGAGACCACAACACCGCAUGAUGGAAGGGUCAAAGAUUUAUCGCUUUGAGAGGGGUUCGCGUCCCCAUUAGGUAGUUGGAGGGGUAACGGCCCACCAAGCCAACGAUGGGUAGCCGAGCUGAGAGGCUGAUCGGCCACACUGGAACUGAGACACGGUCCAGACUCCUACGGGAGGCAGCAGUAGGGAAUAUUGGGCAAUGGGCGCAAGCCUGACCCAGCAACGCCGCGUGAGGGAAGAAGGUUUUCGGAUUGUAAACCUCUGUCCUAUGUGACGAAGGAAGUGACGGUAGCAUAGGAGGAAGCCCGGCUAACUACGUG
rnacentral:rRNA from 1 species